UGGGGAAUAUUNAANANGGGGGCAACCCUGACGCAGCCAUGCCGCGUGAAUGAAAAAGGCCUUCGGGUUGUAAAGUUCUUUCGGUAGCGAGGAAGGCAUUUAGUUUAAUAGACUAGGUGAUUGACGUUAACUACAGAAGAAGCACCGGCUAACUCCGUGCCAGCAGCCGCGGUAAUACGGAGGGUGCGAGCGUUAAUCGGAAUAACUGGGCGUAAAGGGCACGCAGGCGGUGACUUAAGUGAGGUGUGAAAGCCCCGGGCUUAACCUGGGAAUUGCAUUUCAUACUGGGUCGCUAGAGUACUUUAGGGAGGGGUAGAAUUCCACGUGUAGCGGUGAAAUGCGUAGAGAUGUGGAGGAAUACCGAAGGCGAAGGCAGCCCCUUGGGAAUGUACUGACGCUCAUGUGCGAAAGCGUGGGGAGCAAACAGGAUUAGAUACCCUGGUAGUCUACGCUGUAAACGAUGUCGAUUUGGGGGUUGAGCUUUAAGUUUGGCGCCCGUAGCUAACGUGAUAAAUCGACCGCCUGGGGAGUACGGCCGCAAGGUUA
rnacentral:rRNA from 1 species